GCUGUACACAUCCAUACACAACAGACACACAUUAUAAUAUGGUGCUGUACACAUCCAUACACAACAGACACACAUUAUAAUAUGGUGCUGUACACAUCCAUACACAACAGACACAUUCUAAUAUGGUACUGUACACAUCCAUACACAACAGACACACAUUCUAAUAUGGUACUGUACACAUCCAUCCACAACAGACACAUUCUAAUAUGUUACUGUACACAUCCAUACACAACAGACACAUUCUAAUAUGGUACUGUACAGAUCCAUACACAACAGACACAAUCUAAUAUGUUACUGUACAGAUCCAUACACAACAGACACAUUCUAAUAUUGUACUGUACACAUCCAUACACAACAGACACAUUGUAAUAUGUUACUGUACACACCCAUACACAACAGACACAUUCUAAUAUGAUUCUGUACACAUCAAUACACAAAAGACACAUUCUAAUAUGGUACUGUACACAUCCAUACACAACAGACACACAUUCUAAUAUGGUACUGUACCCAUCCAUACACAAAAGACACAUUCUAAUAUGGUACUGUACACAUCCAUACAAAACAGACACAUUCUAAUAUGGUACUGUACACAUCCAUACACAACAGACACAUUCUAAUAUGGUACUGUACACAUCCAUACACAACAGACACAUUCUAAUAUGUUGCUGUACACAUCCAUACACAACGAGACACAUUAUAAUAUGUUACUGUACACAUCCACACACAACAGACACAUUCUAAUAUGUUACUGUACAGAUCCAUACACAACAGACACAUUCUAAUAUGUUACUGUACACAUCCAUACACAACAGACACAUUCUAAUAUGUUACUGUACACAUCCAUACACAACAGACACAUUCUAAUAUGUUACUGUACACAUCCAUACACAACAGACACAUUCUAAUAUGUUACUGUACACAUCCAUACACAACAGACACAUUCUAAUAUAUUACUGUACACAUCCAUACACAACAGACACACUUUCUAAUAUGGUACUGUACACACUCAUACACAACAGACACAUUCUAAUAUGGUACUGUACAGAUCCAUACACAACAGACACAUUCUAAUAUGGUACUGUACACAUCC
rnacentral:lncRNA from 1 species